rnacentral:tRNA from 1 species
CUCUCCGUAGCUCAGCUGGUAGAGCAAUUGACUCUUAAUCAAUGGGUCGUGGGUUCGAAUCCCGCCGGGGAGA